CGUGGAUGAAGCUGGCUUCCCCGGCAUCACCAGGCCACCAUCCAGGCCAGCCCAGUGACGGGCCAGGAGCCAGAACCUUCCCUCUCCAGGCGUUGGAUUUUAUUGGGAGACCCAGCUGGAGGAGCAGGAGGACUAUUUGUGGCCAAUGCCCCAGGCCCCGAGCAAAGCCGUUGUCUGGCAAACGUCGACAAUUGAGAUUGUAGGUAUACCACCGUUUGCACAAGCCUAACCCUUCUUGAUCAAAGACAAAUCAAAAUCCCAAGGAGACUGUUGCGGGAAGUCAGGGACCCCAAACGGAGGGACCGGCUGAAGCCAUGGCAGAAGAACGUGGAUUGUGAAGAUUUCAUGGACAUUUAUUAGUUCCCCAAAUUAAUACUUUUAUAUUUCUUAUGCCUGUCUUUACUGCAGUCUCUAAACAUAAGUUGUGAAGAUUUCAUGGACAUUUAUCACUUCCCCAAUCAAUACCCUUGUGAUUUCCUGUGCCUGUCUUUACUUUAGUCUCUUAAUCCUGUCAGCCGAGGAGGAUGUAUGUCACCUCAGGACCAUGUGAUAAUUGCAUUAACUGCACAAAUUGUAGAGCAUGUGUGUUUAAACAAUAUGAAAUCUGGGCACCUUCAAAAAGAACAAGGUAACAGCAAUGUUUAGGAAACAAGAGAGAUAACCUUAAACUCUGACUGCCGGUGAGCUGAGCAGAACAGAGCCAUAUUUCUCUUCUUUCAAAAGCAAAUGGGAGAAAUACCGCUGAAUUCUUUUUCUCAGCAUGGAACAUCCCUGAGAAAGAGAAUGUGCGCCUGCAGGUAGGUCUCUAAACUGGCCCCCCUGGGCAUAGCCAUCUCUUAUGGUCAAGGCUGCAGAGAUGAAAUAGACUCCAGUCUCCCAUAGCGCUCCCAGGCUUAUUAGGAAGAGGAAAUUCCUGCCUAAUAAAUUUUGGUCAGACCAGUUGAUCUCAAAACCCUGUCUCCUGAUGAGAUGUUAUCAAUGACAAUGGUGCCUGAAACUUCAUUAGCAAUUUGAUUUCACCUCGGUCCUGUGGUCCUGUGAUCUUGCCCUGCCUCCACUUGCCUUGUGAUAUUCUAUUACCUUGUAAAGUACUUGAUGUCUGUGACCCACACCUAUUCACACACUCCCUCCCCUUUUGAAAAUCUCUAAUAAAAACUUGCUGGUUUUUGUGGCUUGUGGGGCAUCACAGAUCCUACCAACGUGUGAUGUCUCCCCCGG
rnacentral:lncRNA from 10 species